CGGGGGGCUGCAGUGAGGAAUUUUGCGCAAUGGGGGAAACCCUGACGCAGCAACGCCGCGUGAGUGAAGAAGGCUUUCGGGUCGUAAAGCUCUGUCAAGUGGGAAAAAAGUCUGAUGAUUAAUAGUUGUCAGAUCUGAUGGUACCACUGGAGGAAGCACCGGCUAACUCCGUGCCAGCAGCCGCGGUAAUACGGAGGGUGCAAGCGUUGUUCGGAAUUACUGGGCGUAAAGGGCGUGCAGGCGGGUUGGUAAGUCAGAUGUGAAAGCCCUGGGCUUAACCCAGGAAGUGCAUUUGAAACUGCCAUCCUAGAGUAUGGGAGAGGAGAGUGGAAUUCCCAAUGUAGAGGUGAAAUUCGUAGAUAUUGGGAGGAACACCCGUGGCGAAGGCGACUCUCUGGACCAAUACUGACGCUGAGACGCGAAAGCGUGGGGAGCAAACAGGAUUAGAUACCCCAGUAGUC
rnacentral:rRNA from 1 species